rnacentral:lncRNA from 1 species
GACGUGACACAAGAUGGGGAAGCCCGCGGGGCUGGCCUGACCGGGGGAGCCCCUACUGCCUGACCCUGCCCGGUGCUCGUGCAUCCCCAGCAGGCCUUUCUGCCUCAUCCUCAGCCGCGCAACUGCAUCGCGGUCCGGAGAGGGGCAGUUACCCCCACCCCCACCCCCAUCCCUGAGGUCCAGGCUUCGGAGCACCCAGGGGCGCUUUCAGGCUUCUGCGGUCCUGGCUGCCUCCAAGCCAGGCACGAGUCACCUUCCAGGGCCAGCGCUGGAGAAGAGGGAGGCAAGGCGGGGUCAAGGCGGGCCCAAGUGCGCAACCCACGGCGACCCAGGUGUGGAAGAGGCGGCGAGUGCGGGGCCAGGACCUGCGGGGAGCAAAGGGGAUGGAACUCGGAAGGACCCCGAGCCUGGCCACAAUGCAAGGAGAGAGAGACUCCUAUCAGAUUCUCUUACAGGUGAAAUUUGCCUUCCCACCAUCGCCUCAAAUAUGAGAGGAGCGAAAGCUGUAGUUUAG